GGAUACGACAAUGAAUAAACAUUUUACACGUCCUUCUUUUCUAGUCAAUCAAUUAUUUAUGCAAUAAUAGAAAGGAAAACACGGCUAUUAAAGUCAAAGAGCAAUUCAAUUCAAUUCAACAUAUACAGAUUCCAAAAUUUCCUCUAAUUAUCUGUUAAUUCGCGACUAAACUAUUACUUAUUGAUUAAUCCCGCCAUUUCAACAUGCUGUCUCCUCGUCCUCCUGCUGGUGGUGGCGAUGGCCCUCUUCUUCGGGCGUAAAACUCACAUCCAAAAAGUACAGCAAGAAAAGCGUAACAAGACAACCCAAAAAUAUUGGAAUUGGUCCAAAAAUCUACAAGAAAGGAAACGAAAAGUAAAAUGCCAUAACGCCUAAUGACCAAAAAUAACUCCCCCUACUCACCAUUCUCCCUACGUACCCUGGCGUCACACAAUAAUCAUUGUUAUGAUCAUCAAAACUUGAAGCCAUUAUCUCCUUGUAAUUAGGCACAUUGAUGAGUAUACUUGCAUGGCUAUAGUGCCUUAUUGAUUGCACAUUAAGCAAGAAUGCCACCAAGAAGCAUACCAAUAUGGAGAAGAACUUUAGGGAGAAUCCAAGCUCGUUUUUGUUGCCGUAAACCACCUUAUUGGGGGGGUUGUUGCCACCACUCAUCAUCAACACAGCAAUGAGGAAACUGAGCAUGAUCACAGUCAACGCCAAAAGAGUUUAUGCCAUUAUGUUGAUUCUUAGUAUUUGUACAGCAAGAACACCAUUCUUCGAUUUAUCCUGUUCAUCCAAAAUCAUAUAUUAUAUUUCCAUUUCGGGAAAUAAUUACUUUUGCAUACACUUAUCAUCUGAUGAAUGAAUGGAGUAAAAUAUGCUUAUCAGAGUUCUAAUAAGUGCACAAUUUU
rnacentral:lncRNA from 1 species